GUCUGAGAAGUGUCUAAGGGGCAGGGCUAUGAGAAGUGUCUAAGGGGCAGGGCUAUGAGAAGUGUCUAAGGGGCAGGGCUAUGAGAAGUGUCUAAGGGGCAGGGCUAUGAGAAGUGUCUAAGGGGCAGGGCUAUGAGAAGUGUCUAAGGGGCAGGGCUAUGAGAAGUGUCUAAGGGGCAGGGCUAUGAGAAGUGUCUAAGGGGCAGGGCUAUGAGAAGUGUCUAAGGGGCAGGGCUAUGAGAAGUGUCUAAGGGGCAGGGCUAUGGGAAGUGUCUAAGG